rnacentral:lncRNA from 2 species
AUGGCGCCCUUGUUGCCGGCGCCUCUCUUGCUGCCGCUGGUUGUAGAGCCUUCAAAGAAGAAGAAAUUUGUGGAUUUGAAAUCAAUGUGGGGUAGAGCUGAAAAGAAACUGAAGUCUAUAGUUGAUAGCAAUAAUAUUUCUGAGCAUACAGCUGAGAGGAAAGACCCUGAACCUGCUACUAUACAUGCAUCUGCAACUAAAGAGAUUGGGUGUAGUAGAGCAUGUGAAGUUGGAUUUGCAGAAACAGAAACUCAAGUGCCCUAUGAAAGUAUAGAAGUAUCAAGACCUCAAGAUGUAGAUGGCAGCAUAGAA